GAUGAAGAACGUAGCGAAAUGCGAUAAGUAGUGUGAAUUGCAGACUUCAGUGAAUCAUCGAAUCUUUGAACGCACAUUGCGCCCCUUGGUAUUCCAUGGGGCAUGCCUGUUCGAGCGUCAUUUGUACCUUCAAGCUUUGCUUGGUGUUGGGUGUUUGUCUCGCCUUUGCGUGUAGACUCGCCUUAAAAUAAUUGGCAGCCGGCGUAUUGAUUUCGGAGCGCAGUACAUCUCGCGCUUUGCACUCAUAACGACAGCGUCCAAAAGUACAUUUUACACUCUUGACCUCGGAUCAGGUAGGGAUACCCGCUGAACUUAAGCAUAUCAAUAAGCGGAGGA
rnacentral:misc_RNA from 1 species